rnacentral:rRNA from 1 species
CGCGUGGACAAUCUGCCCUUUGGUUUGGGAUAACCCCGGGAAACUGGAGCUAAUACCGAAUGAGCCCACGCCGUCUUCGGACGAAGUGGGAAAAGAUGGCCUCUCCUUGGAAGCUAUCGCCAAUUGAUGAGUCCGCGUACCAUUAGCUUGUUGGUGAGGUAACGGCCCACCAAGGCUACGAUGGUUAGCUGGUCUGAGAGGAUGACCAGCCACACUGGAACUGAGACACGGUCCAG